rnacentral:rRNA from 1 species
GACGAACGCUGGCGGCGUGCCUAAUACAUGCAAGUAGAACGCUGAAGAGAGGAGCUUGCUCUUCUUGGCUGAGUUGCGAACGGGUGAGUAACGCGUAGGUAACCUGCCUUGUAGCGGGGGAUAACUAUUGGAAACGAUAGCUAAUACCGCAUAACAAUAGGUGACACAUGUCAUUUAUUUGAAAGGGGCAAUUGCUCCACUACAAGAUGGACCUGCGUUGUAUUAGCUAGUAGGUGAGGUAACGGCUCACCUAGGCGACGAUACAUAGCCGACCUGAGAGGGUGAUCGGCCACACUGGGACUGAGACACGGCCCAGACUCCUACGGGAGGCAGCAGUAGGGAAUCUUCGGCAAUGGGGGCAACCCUGACCGAGCAACGCCGCGUGAGUGAAGAAGGUUUUCGGAUCGUAAAGCUCUGUUGUAAGUCAAGAACGAGUGUGAGAGUGGAAAGUUCACACUGUGACGGUAGCUUACCAGAAAGGGACGGCUAACUACGUG